GAUGAACGCUGGCGGCGUGCCUAAUACAUGCAAGUCGAGCGAACAGACGAGGAGCUUGCUCCUCUGACGUUAGCGGCGGACGGGUGAGUAACACGUGGAUAACCUACCUAUAAGACUGGGAUAACUUCGGGAAACCGGAGCUAAUACCGGAUAAUAUUGUGCCGCAUGGGGCAAUAUAGAAAAACGCGGUUGUUGUGACUCUUAUAGGGGGUUCCGCGCCGCAUGAUCUAGUUGGUAAGGUAACGGCUUACCAAGGCGACGAUGCGUAGCCGACCUGAGAGGGUGAUCGGCCACACUGGAACUGAGACACGGUCCAGACUCCUACGGGAGGCAGCAGUAGGGAAUCUUCCGCAAAGGGCGAAAGCCUGACGGAGCAACGCCGCGUGAGUGAUGAAGGUCUUCGGAUCGUAAAACUCUGUUAUUAGGGAAGAACAAAUGUGUAAGUAACUAUGCACGUCUUGACGGUACCUAAUCAGAAAGCCACGGCUAACUACGUG
rnacentral:rRNA from 1 species